rnacentral:rRNA from 1 species
AACGAACGCUGGCGGCAUGCCUAACACAUGCAAGUCGAACGAGACCUUCGGGUCUAGUGGCGCACGGGUGCGUAACGCGUGGGAAUCUGCCCCUUGGUUCGGAAUAACUUCGGGAAACUGAAGCUAAUACCGGAUAAUGACGUAAGUCCAAAGAUUUAUCGCCAAGGGAUGAGCCCGCGUAGGAUUAGCUAGUUGGUGGGGUAAAGGCUCACCAAGGCGACGAUCCUUAGCUGGUCUGAGAGGAUGAUCAGCCACACUGGGACUGAGACACGGCCCAGACUCCUACGGGAGGCAGCAGUGGGGAAUAUUGGACAAUGGGCGAAAGCCUGAUCCAGCCAUGCCGCGUGAAUGAUGAAGGCCUUAGGGUUGUAAAAUUCUUUUGCAGGGGAAGAUAAUGACGGUACCCUGCGAAUAAGCUCCGGCUAACUUCGUGCCAGCAGCCGCGUAU